CAAAAAUCUGUGCAUUUUUGCGUGAGGCACUCGGUGUUUGCGUACUCUUGGAGCUACAGUAACCCGAAAAAGUUGAAAUUCACGCUAGAAGGACGGGCAAACAAUGUUUAGGAAUGAAAAAAUGCGCUGAAUUCGAAUUUCACACUUAAU
ensembl:ncRNA C13A10.4 ncRNA